GUCUAUGGCCAUGACACCCUGAACAAGCCCGAUGUCUGAUCUUGGAAGCUAAGCACGGUCGGGCCUGGUUAGUACUUGGAUGGGAGAACACCUAGGAAGACCAGGUGCUAUAGGCA
rnacentral:rRNA from 1 species